UACGUAGGGUGCAAGCGCUAAUCGGAAUUACUGGGCGUAAAGCGUGCGCAGGCGGUUGUGCAAGACAGAUGUGAAAUCCCCGGGCUCAACCUGGGAAUUGCAUUUGUGACUGCACGGCUAGAGUGUGUCAGAGGGGGGUAGAAUUCCACGUGUAGCAGUGAAAUGCGUAGAGAUGUGGAGGAAUACCGAUGGCGAAGGCAGCCCCCUGGGAUAACACUGACGCUCAUGCACGAAAGCGUGGGGAGCAAACAGG
rnacentral:rRNA from 1 species